CCGGACUGUGUUCGGAUUUUCACUUUUUGAAAUAUGGCAACCCUAGUUGUCUGGCAAUUAGUAGGUGAAAAUCAGCUUCCUCAAGAUCCAUCCACAUCACUGAAAUGGGAGCUGCGAGAUUUACAAGCAAGGCAUUUCUAGGUAUUUUAAUGAUUGGGGGCACAGGCUCAGCAUAACACAAAUUUACUAAGGGAGAGGCCAUAGAUCACUGGAAGAGCAUCUGCAUGCAGAAGGUCCCUGGUUAUUCUUUGUGAACCACCUUGGAAGAAGAAGAGUUUGGAUUUGAUAUCCCGCCUUUCACUCCCUUUAAGGAGUCUCAAAGCGGCUAACAAUCUCCUUUCCCUUCCUCCCCCACAACAAACACUCUGUGAGGUGAGUGGGGCUGAGAGACUUCAAAGAAGUGUGAUGGCCCAAGGUCACCCAACAGCUGCAUGUGGAGGAGCAGAGACGCGAACCCGGUCCCCCAGAUUGCAAGACUACCGCUCUUAACCACUACACCACACUGGCUCUCUUGGGGCCUUUUUGGCCAAAAAGCGGCAUAUAAAUAAGUAGAGCUUGGAACAUACCCUGCCAGAAACCCUGAAGAGUCACUACCUGUCAGAGUGGACAAUCUAAAGCUACAUGGUCCAUUGGUCUGACUUGGGGUAAGGCAGCUUCCUGUGUUGUCCUCUUCUGGGCAGACAUGAUGGUGGGUGGAGUCUAAGGCAUUCUUAAGCUUUUUUUAAGAAUUAAGAAUUUUUUAAGUUUAAAAAGGGGAAAGGAGUGGGAGAUUCAGGGCCAAGUGCAAAAGACUCAGGGCUGCAUACACACCAGACAUUGAAAGCACAUGCAAAGCUCACUCCAAGAAUCCUGGAAACAACAGUUUGUUAAAAGUGCUGGGAACUAUAAUUCUGUGAGGGGUCUACUACAGUUCCCAGAAUUCUUAUAGAGAGAGAAUAUGUGCUUUGAACACAUGGUAUGCACACAGCCUUGGGCAUUCUAGGCUAGCAAUACCUCUGUUUCCAGGGCAUGACCUUUGAUUCACUGUUCAGAUGAAAAUUGACUGCUUUUGAUACAGUGCUUCUAACAUUAGGCCUCCUGAAAAUCUGCCCCUCAGGUUUUGCCUGAGAGCUAAGAAAAAGGAAUACCCUGACAUUGGUAGUCAUAUGGCUUAAUUUCUAUCAAAUGCUGAUGUGCAAGCAGUUCCCACUGUUGCCUUUCACAGUCUGACAGGCAGAGAGGCACCCGACCUUGUUGAAUGUUGAAUGUCCAGACAAAGUGACUGGAGUGCGUGUGGGCUGGCCACAUUGUCUGGUCUGGUGCAUGUCUUUCCUAUGACCCGCUCACAAGAGCUGAAGGCCCUCUUUCCCUGAUAAACUCAGCCGUGCUAAUGAUAUACUUUCUCUCUCGUGUGAGCAGAGCCCAUCUGCGGUGGUGACAGAAUAUGUGAGAGCAACUGCUCUGGUGAAUGUCUUCCAGAUUCUGCGUGGGGAAGCUGCCAUUUCUCUCUCUCUCUCUCUCUCUCUCUCUCUCUCUCACACACACACACACACACACACACACACACACACUGUUGCUGGCAUCCGUCUGUCUCGAGAGACAAAGGAAGAGUGUGCCAUCGG